CAGCAGCCGCGGUAAUACGUAGGUGGCAAGCGUUGUCCGGAAUUACUGGGCGUAAAGGGCUCGCAGGCGGUUUCUUAAGUCUGAUGUGAAAGCCCCCGGCUCAACCGGGGAGGGUCAUUGGAAACUGGGGAACUUGAGUGCAGAAGAGGAGAGUGGAAUUCCACGUGUAGCGGUGAAAUGCGUAGAGAUGUGGAGGAACACCAGUGGCGAAGGCGACUCUCUGGUCUGUAACUGACGCUGAGGAGCGAAAGCGUGGGGAGCGAACAGGAUUAGAUACCCCAGUAGUCCCUGUCUCUUAUAC
rnacentral:rRNA from 1 species